rnacentral:rRNA from 1 species
AAGUCGUAACAAGGUUUCCGUAGGUGAACCUGCGGAAGGAUCAUUACUGAAUUGUCGACACGAGUUGUUGCUGGUCCUCAAAUGGGGGCAUGUGCACGCUCUGUUUACACAUCCACUCACACCUGUGCACCCUCUGUAGUUCUGUGGCCUGGGGGGCUCUGCCACCCUUGCUGUGGUCUACAUCUUUACACACACACUGUAAUAAAGUCUCAUGGAAUGUACGUCGCGUUUAACGCAAUACAAUACAACUUUCAGCAACGGAUCUCUUGGCUCUCGCAUCGAUGAAGAACGCAGCGAAAUGCGAUAAGUAAUGUGAAUUGCAGAAUUCAGUGAAUCAUCGAAUCUUUGAACGCACCUUGCGCCCUUUGGCUAUUCUGAAGGGCAUGCCUGUUUGAGUAUCAUGAACACCUCAACUCUUGUGGCUUGCCACGAUGAGCUUGGACUUUGGGGGUCUUGCUGGCCUACGGUCAGCUCCUCUUAAAUGAAUCAGCUUGCCAGUGUUUGGUGGCAUCACAGGUGUGAUAACUAUCUACGCUUGUGGUUUUCCACCAGGUAACCUUCAGUGAUGGAGGUUCGCUGGAGCUUAUAGAAGUCUCUCCUCAGUGAGGACAGCUU